GCCGAGCCUGGUUGCGAGGGCUUAUGACCCGAGUGGGGGCAUCAAAUUGAUGGAACGGGAGGUUUCGUCCUGCUGGGCUGGAUUUGGCGUGGAUUGUUCUGGGCCGCCCAUUUCAAGCAUGGAGGAAAGCCAUGGUGCUUGGGCGGAGGCCCAGGUUCCAUGGGCUUCUAGAGCGGGGGGGAACGCGUGAGGCUGGCUCGACAGAGCAACGACAACCUCCCUCUCCAUGCAGUGGAAGGAUAACGGGCCGUGCCUGUCGGAUCCAACUUGUGUCCCAGUGGGGAUGGCCCUCACCGAACCUUCAUUUUU
rnacentral:SRP_RNA from 1 species